UGCUCCCCGUUGCCUUCCCUCGCCCUUUAGGGGGCUUUUUCGCUCUUCUACCUCAUCUUCUCGUCACCCUCGAUCACGGCGGGGCUGUGAGGCCGUUUAUGCGCCUUAAGCGUAGCCUGAGGAGCUCUCCGCCUUUCCGGGGCCUCUCAAAUGCCUCAACCCGCCAUUUUCCCUCCCUCAGCGCCCACACAGCGAGGGGGCUUCCUCUGUUCGGGGCACACUGCGUCUUCCCCUCUUUUUCCCCACUGUGAUUGCCUCACGCCAUCAAACAUUAAGAGCUUGGGCGUUGGUUUAUUUUUUUUUUACUUAGAGGGGAGAAAAUCAAGUGCUGUUCCCCAUCCAGGUACACUCUAGGUGGCUGCACAUGGCAAAGCCCCUGUUAUGCCCGGCAUGGGAAGGCACAGAGCUGGGCUUGCUGCAGGAGAAGGGCCCCCAUAGAUUUCUUUGCUGCACGACACUUUAAUUCAUCUUCAGCCUCAACCAACACUACAGGCUGCUACGAAUGCAAAAAUUUAUAUAAAGAUACCCUGUGGCUUCAGUUGCUGUGAAAAAGGAAGAAAUGAUAAGGAAGCAGGUAAAGGAGGUGGCAUUUACGGAAGAAGAAAUAGGAAAUUCACCAAAAGGAAUCAGUAAAUUGAAUUAAAAGUAGUAACUAAUAGUGGAAUUAGCUCUCAUUACCAGACAGGAAGAGAUAGUAAUUGUGGUUUGGCUGUUAACUACUUCUGAUGUUAUUUUUCAAUAUAAGCUACUGAUAUAAUUGCUAAAGAAACAACAGUGAAAGGAUCAGAACAUACUGUGAGCACAGAUGGAGCUUACAUUGUAUAUACUUUUUAAAGACAUUUAGUUAAUUUCACUUUAGCAAGAGUGACAGCAGUUUCUCAGAGAUUAAUGGAUAUUUAUUACAAACUCAUUGAUGCACAUGGCAGGCUACGGUAUGGGCAAGAGUUUUAGCCUGCUGAUAAAUUCAAAAUAUUUUGAGAAGCACGCUUUCUGUUCUGUUAGGGAAGUUUCUCACUCUCAUACAUAAGGCCACAGUUUCUCCAGUCUAUUUCUCUCUAAUGCUUUUGGUGUUCUGGUGGCUGUGGUAGGCAGACAUAUGCUACUUGCACGUAAAAACAGGAGGCAGAAACUAAGUUAUUCAUCUUCCUUCUAAAGUUCUUGGUCUUUACAACUUGACUAUAGUUGAGCUUCGGUUCAGCAACUUGAUACGGAAAGGUUGUUUAUGUUGCAGUUUAUCACUGUCUCUCCCAGGCAGCAGCUUUUCUUAUCAGUGUUUCCAUUAACACACUGUGCUCUGCAAAAAAAAGAGAAAAAAAAAGGAGUGUCCUCUAUUUUCAUACACAAAAAAACAUCCUCUCCUUAGAUUUCCUUCCACAGGAAACACAUAUCCAUGUAUACCCUUAUUUGCAUAUUAAAUAGACAAGAUAAAACUCUUUCUACCCUACUUAGGUGAGUCAAACAUUGAAAAUCAGUUGAGAGCAAACAUACUCAUUCACUGAUCUCUCAGGGGUAACAGCUACAAUUCACAAGUGUCAGCAGGCAGAGAGUAAACAAACUGGCUUUGUCUUGCACUCUGCAAGCUCACAAAUUUAACAGAGACUCCUGGGAAUGCAGUAUUAAAAUUCUAAAAAGCCAACCCUCAGUCUACCUUUCAGUGUUAGGAGUAUAAAGAAAAAAACAAACAAACCAGAGAUACAAAUUAUAUUGUACAAUCAUUUAGGUUGGAAAAGAGCUUAAAAUCGAGUCUGCCUACUCACAUUAUUGGGCUGUCUGGUGUCCUCCGUCUGGGAGAUCCUUGUUGGUCUAUCUAGAAUGGGUUUCUUCUGCUCUUCUUUGGGGCUCAUGCUGCCCAGUAUUUGUUUCCUGGCCUCCGUGUACUCUGCCUCCCUUUGUGCCAAGGAUUUCAAGGGCAAGGCUGGGAUGCUGCCGGGCAGAAAAGGACCUGGGGGUGUUGGUCAACUGUCGGCUGAACAUGAGCCAGCAGUGUGCCCAGGUGGCC